UUGCUCUGAAGUCACAGGCCUGACUUCCAGACUAGGCUCUGCCCCUAAGGAAAUCACCUUUCUGGUCUUAGUCUCCCCAUCUGAAAAUGGCAUAACCAACCUACCUGCCUCAAAUACAAGACCCUGCUUGUGAAGCGUCUCCUGGCUCAGACCAGUGCUAGAAGUGUCCAGUCUAGCAGCUCCUGGACCAAGACUCCGUGGCCAUUCCCUUCCUCCUGCCUUCCAUCCACCCCCUUACGAUACAGAAGUUGAGAUACAGAGAGGUGAAGGAACUUGUCCCAGGCCCUACAGCUAAGACAAGGUCUCACACUGUCCAGAGGCUGAAGCACAGUAGUGCAGUCAUGACUCACUAAGCUCAAGGUAUCCUCCCACUUCAGUCUCCCAAGUAUCUAGGACUACAAAUGCACAUCACCACACAUGGCUAAUUUUAUUUUAUUAUUAUUAUUAUUUUUUGUUAGAGAUAGGGUCUUGCUAUGUUGUCUAAGCUGGUCUCAAACUCCUGGCCUCAAGUGAUCCUCCUGCUCCAGCCUCUCAAAGUGCUGGGAUUAUGGGUGUAAGCCAACAUGCCAGGCCAAAAUUUUUAUGGAAUUACUAAAGACCCAAUAUAGCUAGCAUGACUACAUAAAAUUUGUAGGAGAUAUAGACACUGAAGUAAUCAUAGAAACAACAAAACUCAAACCUAAUUCAACUCCUGAAAAAACUGACUGAAUCCCCCACACUAAUGGCCUAAGAGAAGAAGAGAUACGACAAUUUCCAGGCAUAAAUAAUAAUGAACUCAGUCCUUACUAUUAUAAGCACUGUGUCCAAAAUUCAAUAAAAAAUUACAACACAGGCUGGGUGCAGUGGCUCACGCCUCUAAUCUCAACACUUUGGGAGGCCAAGGUGGAUGGAUCACCUGAUGUCAGGAGUUCAAGACCAGCCUGGCCAACACAGUGAAAUCCCAUCUUUACUGAAAAUACAAAAAUUAGCUGGGCAUGGUGGUGGGUGCCUGCAAUCCCAGCUAUUUGGGAGGCUCAGGCAGGAGAAUCGCUUGAACCUGGGAAGCAGAGGUUGCAGUGAGCCAAGAUCGCACCAUUGCACUCCAGUCUGGUUGGCAAAAGUGAAACUCUAUCUCAAAAACAAACAAACAAAAAUUACAACGCACACACACACACACAACUUUUAAAAUACCAAAAAAACCUACUGUCAAGAGACAAAGCAGUCCAGGUGUGGUGGCUUAUACCUAUAAUCCAGCACUUUGGAAUGCCAAGGCAGAUGGAAUGCUUGAGGCCAGGAGUCUGAAGACCAGUCUGGGCAAUAUCGUAAGGCCCUGUUUCUAUAUUAAAGAGAGAAAGAGAGAAAGAGAAAGAGAGAGAGAGAGAAAGCAAGACCAGGUGCAAGAUGCAGAUGCUGUAAUUAUCUGACACAGAACUUAAGACAACUAUAAGUAAUACGUGAAUAUGAAAGGCUCUUGUGGAAAAUGUAGACAAUAUGAAAGAACAAAAGGGGAAUUUUUGCAGAAAUAUGAAGACUACAAAAAAAGAGACAUAGAGAAAUGCUAGAAAUAAGAAAAAACACAUACAUAUAACAGAUUUGAAGAAUGCUGUUGACAGGCUUAUCAGUAUACUAGUCCUUUCUCACGCUACUACAAAGACACACCUGAGACUGGGUAAUUUAUAAAUGAGAGAUGUUUAAUUAACUCACAGUUCCACAGGGCUGGGGAGGCCUUAGGAAACUUACAAUCAUGGCAGAAGGGGAAGCAAACACGUCCUUCUUCGCAUGGCAGCAGCAAGAAGUGCCCAGCGAAGGGGGAAGCCCCUUAUAAAACCAUCAGAUCUCAUGAGAAGUAACUCACUAUCACAAGAAAAGGAUGGGGGAAACCACCCCCAUGAUUCAACUGUCUUCACCUGGUCCUUUCCAUGACAUGUGGGGAUUAUGGGAACCACAAUUCAAGAUGAGAUUUGGGUGGGGACACAGUCAAACCAUAUAAUUUUGCCCCAGCCCCUCCCAAAUCUCAUGUCCUCACAAUUCAAAACACAAUUAUGUGCUUCCAACAGUCCUCCAAAGUCUUAACUCAUUCCAGUAUUAACCCAAAAGUCCAAGUCCAAAGACUCUUCUGAGACAAGGCAAGUCCCUUCCACCUAAGAGCCUGUAAAAUCAAAAGCAAGUUAAUUACUUCCUAGAUAUAAUGGGGUUAUAGGCAUUGGGUAAAUACCCUCAUUCUAAAUAGGAGAAAUUGAAGGGGUAAAUUGGCCCAAACAAAGGGGCUACAGGCCCCAUGCAAGUCUGAAAUCCAAUAGGACAGUCAUUAAACCUGAAAGCUCCAAAAUAAUAUCCUUUGAUUCCAGGUCUCAUAUCCAGGUCACACUGAUGCAAGAGGUGGGCUCCCACAGCCCUGGGCAGCUCCACCCCUGUGGCUUUGCAGGGUAGAGACCCCCUCCCUGCUGCUUUCAUGGCUGCCAUUGAGUGUCUGCAACUUUUCCAGACACUCAGUGCAAGUUGUUGGUGGAUCUACCAUUCGGGGGUCUGGAGGACAGUGGCCCUCUUCUCACAGCUCCAUAAGCAAUGCCCCAGUGGGGACUCUGUGUGUAGGAUCUGACCCCACAUUUCCCUUCCGCACUGCCCUAGCAGAGGUUCUCCAUGAGGGCUCCGCCCCUGCAGCAGACUUCUGCCUGGACAUCCACGCAUUUCCAUACAACCUCUGAAAUCUAGGCGGAGGUUCCCAAACCUCAAUUCUUGCAUUCUGCACACCUGCUGGCCCAAUACCUCAUGGAAGCUGCCAAGGCUUGGGGCUUGCACCCUCUGAAGCAAUAGCCCGAGCUGUCCUUGGCCCCUUUUUGCCAUGGCUUGAGUGGCUGGGAUGCAGGGCACCAAGUCCUGAGGCAGCAUACAGCAAGGGAGCACUGGACCUGGCCCAGGAAAUCAUUUUUCCCUCCUAGGCCUCUGGGCCUAUGAUGGGAGGGGCUGCUGUGUAGGUCUCUGAUAUGCCCUGGAGACAUUUUCCCCAUUGUCUUGGUGAUUAAUAUUUGUCUCCUUGUUACUUAUGCAAAUUUCUGUAAGGGGCUUGAAUUUCUCCCAGAAAAAAAUGGGUUUUUCUUUUCUAUCACAUCAUCAGGCUGCAAAUUUUCCAAAAGUUUAUUCUCUGCUUCCUCUUGAAUGCUAUGCCACUUAGAAAUUUCUCCUGCCAGAUACCCUAAAUCAUCUCUCUCAAGUUCAAAGUUCUACAGAUCUCUAGGGCAGGGGUAAAAUGCCACCAGUCUCUUUGCAUUGCAAAAGUGAAGUUUACUCCAGUUCCCAGCUAGUUCCUCAUUUCCAUCUGAGACCACCUCAUCCUAGAUUUCAUUGUUCAUAUCACUAUUAGCAUUUUGGUCAAAGCCAUUCAACAGUCUCUAGGAAGUUCCAAACCUUCUCACAUUUUCCUGUCUUCUGAGCCCUCUAAGACUUUAGGAAGUUCCACAUUUUCCCACAUUUUCCUUCUUCUUCUGAGCCCUCCAAACUGUUCUAACCUCUAUCUGCUACCCAGUUCCAAAGCUGCUUCCACAUUAUCAGGUAUCUUUAUAGCUGCACCUCAUUCUACCAAUACCAGUUUACUGUAUUAGUCUGUUCUCACACUGCUAUAAGCACAUACCUGAGACUGGGUAGUUUACAAAGAAAAGAGGUUUAAUUGACUCACUGUUCCAAAGGGCUGAGGAGGCCUCAGGAAACUUACAAUCAUGGUGGAAGGGGAAGCAAACACGUCCUUCUUCAUGUGGCAGCAGCAAGGAGAAGUGCCUGGGGAAGGAGGAAGCCCCUUAUAAAACCAUCAGAUCUUGUGAGAACUAACUCACUAUCAUGAGAACAGGAUGGGGGAACCACCCUCAUGAUUCAAUUAUCUCCACCUGGUCUCUCCCAUGACACGUGGGGAUUAUGGGAACCACAAUUCAAGAUGAGAUUUGGGUGGUGACACAACCAAACUAUAUCAAUCAGUAAACUCGACAUAGCUGAGGAAAUAACCAGUGAACUUGAAGAUAGGUCAAUAGAGAAUACUCAAAUUGAAACAGAAAAAGAAAAGAGUGAAACAAACAAACAAAAACCAGAACAAAUAUCCAAGCGCUAACAUAUAAGUGAUUCAUAUCCCAGAAGGAGAAGAAACAGAGAAAAAAAAAUAUAUAUAUGUAGAUACAAUAUUUAUUUGUAGAUAUAAUAGCUAAUAAUUUUCCAAAAAUAAUGAAAGAUAUCAAACCACAGAGCCAAGAAACUCACAGAAUCCAGAAAAGAUUAAAUGCCAAUAUACAAACACAACAAAGAAGCACAUGCAAACACAACCUAAUAUAUCAUAUUCAAAUUGCUGAAAACCAAAGAUAAAGAGAAAAUAUUGAAGGCAUCUAGAGGAAAAAGGCACACUCCCUACAGAGGAACAAAGAAUUACAGAAGACUUCUCAUCAGAAAUUAUAUAACCAGAAGAUAAUAGAGUCAUAUCUUUAAAAUGCUGAAAGACAAAAAACUGCCAAUCCAGAAUUCUAUACCUAGCAAAUACAUCUUUCAAACAUGAAGGAAAUACACUUUUUCAGAUCAAAAAAAAAAAAAGAGAGAGAGAAAAUUCAUUACCAGUGGACGUUCUGUAAGCAGAAGAAAUAUGAUACCUGAGAGAAACUUGGAUCUACAUAAAGAAAUGAUGAUCUCUGGAAACAGAUAGAAUAAAGGUAAAUAUAAGAGACAUUGUUUCUCAUUUUUACUCACUUUAAAAGGUAACUGCUUUACUAAAGCAAUGCAUUGUGGCCUCAUAGCAUAUAUAAAAGUGAAAUGUAUGACAAUAACAACAGUAAAAAUGAGGAGAUGGAGGAAUGGGAAAUAUGCUGUUAAAGGGUCCUUAUGAUAUAUAAGAAGUGGUAUAACAUUAUUUGAAGAUAGACUGAUUAAAGAUAUAGUAAAUUCAAUAGCAACCACUAAAAAAAUUUUUUUAGAGAGGUGUAAGUAACAAGCCAAUAAUAGAAAAUGGAAUCAUAAAAAUGCUGGAAUAGGUAACUAUGUGAGAUGAUGGAUAUGUUCGUUUGCUUCACUAUAGUAAUCACUUUACUAUAUCUAUGUAUUCCAUAACAUCAUGUUGUAUACCUUAAACAUAUACAAUAAAAUUUAUUUUUUAAAAUGA
rnacentral:lncRNA from 1 species